AACACUGCGCCGGUAUGAACGGAUUAUAUUGAUGUUAUAAAUUAUAAGGUCUCCCUUCUGUGUUU
rnacentral:tRNA from 1 species